UCAUCGGUGGUUCAGUGGUAGAAUGCUCGCCUGCCACGCGAGCAGCCCGGGUUCGAUUCCCGGCCAAUGCA
rnacentral:tRNA from 1 species